GUGAAUCAUCAAAUCUUUGAACGCAAAUUGCACUCCCUGGUAUUCCGGGGAGUAUGCCUGUUUGAGGGUCGUUAGAACAAAAAUCGAAGCGUCGCUCUUUUUUUUUAAGGGUGAUCGCGUCGGAAUUGAGCGGUCUUUAAAAUGUUAAUUAAUGUAAAAGUGGCUUGAAAUUAAUCCAUCCGGUAGGAUUAAAGGGUAUUUAAGAUCAACUUUGAUUAGGAACGCGGGAUGACCGUACAAU
rnacentral:misc_RNA from 1 species